rnacentral:rRNA from 1 species
UACGAAGGGGGCUAGCGUUGUUCGGAAUUACUGGGCGUAAAGCGUGCGCAGGCGGCUUCUCAAGUCAGGGGUGAAAGCCCAGAGCUCAACUCUGGAAUUGCCUUUGAGACUGAGUGGCUUGAGUACGAGAGAGGUGAGUGGAACUCCGAGUGUAGAGGUGAAAUUCGUAGAUAUUGGGAGGAACACCAGUGGCGAAGGCGGCUCACUGGACCGGUUCUGACGCUGAGGCGCGAAAGCGUGGGGAGCAAACGGG